rnacentral:rRNA from 1 species
UAUGUGAAUACAUAGCAUAUCAGAAGGCACACCCGGAGAACUGAAACAUCUUAGUACCCGGAGGAAGAGAAAGAAAAUUCGAUUCCCUUAGUAGCGGCGAGCGAAACGGGAAGAGCCCAAACCAACAAGCUUGCUUGUUGGGGUUGUAGGACACUCUAUACGGAGUUACAAAGGACGACAUUAGACGAAUCAUCUGGAAAGAUGAAUCAAAGAAGGUAAUAAUCCUGUAGUCGAAAAUGUUGUCUCUCUUGAGUGGAUCCUGAGUACGACGGAGCACGUGAAAUUCCGUCGGAAUCUGGGAGGACCAUCUCCUAAGGCUAAAUACUCUCUAGUGACCGAUAGUGAACCAGUACCGUGAGGGAAAGGUGAAAAGCACCCCGGAAGGGGAGUGAAAUAGAACCUGAAACCGUGUGCUUACAAGUAGUCAGAGCCCGUUAAUGGGUGAUGGCGUGCCUUUUGUAGAAUGAACCGGCGAGUUACGAUUUGAUGCAAGGUUAAGCAGUAAAUGUGGAGCCGUAGCGAAAGCGAGUCUGAAUAGGGCGUUUAGUAUUUGGUCGUAGACCCGAAACCAGGUGAUCUACCCUUGGUCAGGUUGAAGUUCAGGUAACACUGAAUGGAGGACCGAACCGACUUACGUUGAAAAGUGAGCGGAUGAACUGAGGGUAGCGGAGAAAUUCCAAUCGAACCUGGAGAUAGCUGGUUCUCUCCGAAAUAGCUUUAGGGCUAGCCUCAAGUGAUGAUUAUUGGAGGUAGAGCACUGUUUGGACGAGGGGCCCCUCUCGGGUUACCGAAUUCAGACAAACUCCGAAUGCCAAUUAAUUUAACUUGGGAGUCAGAACAUGGGUGAUAAGGUCCGUGUUCGAAAGGGAAACAGCCCAGACCACCAGCUAAGGUCCCAAAAUAUAUGUUAAGUGGAAAAGGAUGUGGCGUUGCCCAGACAACUAGGAUGUUGGCUUAGAAGCAGCCAUCAUUUAAAGAGUGCGUAAUAGCUCACUAGUCGAGUGACACUGCGCCGAAAAUGUACCGGGGCUAAACAUAUUACCGAAGCUGUGGAUUGUCCUUUGGACAAUGGUAGGAGAGCGUUCUAAGGGCGUUGAAGCAUGAUCGUAAGGACAUGUGGAGCGCUUAGAAGUGAGAAUGCCGGUGUGAGUAGCGAAAGACGGGUGAGAAUCCCGUCCACCGAUUGACUAAGGUUUCCAGAGGAAGGCUCGUCCGCUCUGGGUUAGUCGGGUCCUAAGCUGAGGCCGACAGGCGUAGGCGAUGGAUAACAGGUUGAUAUUCCUGU